GAAUCAUCUUUAAGUAAAGCUUCUAACUUUACAAAUAGCAAAUUAUAUUGUUAAUGAUUCU
rnacentral:tRNA from 1 species